AGACCCGAAACCCGGUGAUCUAGCCAUGGGCAGGUUGAAGGUUGGGUAACACUAACUGGAGGACCGAACCGACUAAUGUUGAAAAAUUAGCGGAUGACCUGUGGCUGGGGGUGAAAGGCCAAUCAAACCGGGAGAUAGCUGGUUCUCCCCGAAAGCUAUUUAGGUAGCGCCUCGUGAAUUCAUCUCCGGGGGUAGAGCACUGUUUCGGCUAGGGGGCCAUCCCGGCUUACCAACCCGAUGCAAACUGCGAAUACCGGAGAAUGUUAUCACGGGAGACACACGGCGGGUGCUAACGUCCGUCG
rnacentral:rRNA from 2 species